GGCGAAGCUGAUGGUGCGACCCGCGUGAGGGAUGAAGGUCUUCGGAUUGUAAACCUCUGUCACUGGGGAGAAAACGCUAAACGUUAACAGCGCUUAGCCUGAUUUAACCCGGAGAGGAAGCAGUGGCUAACUCUGUGCCAGCAGCCGCGGUAAUACAGAGACUGCAAGCGUUAUUCGGAUUCACUGGGCGUAAAGGGUGCGCAGGCGGCCGUGUGUGUCAGAUGUGAAAUCCCGGGGCUCAACCCCGGAACUGCGUCUGAAACUACAUGGCUAGAGUACUGGAGAGGGUAGUGGAAUUCACGGUGUAGCAGUGAAAUGCGUAGAUAUCGUGAGGAACACCAGAGGCGAAGGCGACUACCUGGACAGUUACUGACGCUCAGGCACGAAAGCGUGGGGAGCCAAAGGGAUUAGAUACCCCUGUAGUCCACGCCCUAAACGGUGCACACUAGGUCUUGGCGGAUUCGACCCCGCCAGGGCCCAAGCUAACGCGUUAAGUGUGCCGCCUGAGGACUACGGNCCCAAGGCUAAAACUCAAAGGAAUUGACGGGGGCCCGCACAAGCGGUGGAGCAUGUGGCUCAAUUCGAUGCAACGCGAAGAACCUUACCAGGCCUUGACAUGCGCUAGACAGACGCUGAAAGGCGUCUCCCUUCGG
rnacentral:rRNA from 1 species